UACGUAGGGCGCGAGCGUUGUCCGGAUUUAUUGGGCGUAAAGAGCUCGUAGGCGGCUUGUCGCGUCGACUGUGAAAACCCGUGGCUCAACCAUGUGGUCUGCAGUCGAUACGGGCAGGCUAGAAUUCGGUAGGGGAGACUGGAAUUCCUGGUGUAGCGGUGAAAUGCGCAGAUAUCAGGAGGAACACCGGUGGCGAAGGCGGGUCUCUGGGCCGAUACUGACGCUGAGGAGCGAAAGCGUGGGGAGCGAACAGG
rnacentral:rRNA from 1 species